rnacentral:rRNA from 1 species
AUUGAACGCUGGCGGCAUGCCUUACACAUGCAAGUCGAACGGCAGCGCGGGCUUCGGCCUGGCGGCGAGUGGCGGACGGGUGAGUAAUGCAUCGGAACGUGCCCAAGAGUGGGGGAUAACGUAGCGAAAGUUACGCUAAUACCGCAUACGUACUGAGGUAGAAAGCGGGGGAUCGAAAGACCUCGCGCUCAUGGAGCGGCCGAUGUCGGAUUAUCUAGUUGGCGGGGUAAAAGCCCACCAAGGUGACGAUCCGUAGCUGGUCUGAGAGGACGAACAGCCACACUGGGACUGAGACACGGCCCAGACUCCUACGGGAGGCAGCAGUGGGGAAUCUUGGACAAUGGGGGAAACCCUGAUCCAGCAAUGCCGCGUGUGGGAUGAAGGCCCUCGGGUUGUAAACCACUUUUGGCAGGAAAGAAAUCGCCUGUGCUAAUACCACGGGCGGAUGACGGUACCUGCAGAAUAAGCACCGGCUAACUACGUGCCAGCCGCCGCCGUAA